UCAAGUUUAUAAGGGCAUACGGCGGAUGCCUAGGCGUUUCGAAACGAAGAAGGACGCGAUAAGCUGCGAUAAGCCGUGGUUAGCUGCAAGUAAGCAUUGAUCCACGGAUUUCCGAAUGGGGCAACCCGGCAAGAGUAACGUCUUGUCACUCUACCUUCGAGGUAGAGAGAAAACACCCGAUGAACUGAAACAUCUAAGUAGUCGGAGGAAAAGAAAUCAAAGAGAUUCCCUGAGUAGCGGCGAGCGAAACGGGAAGAGCCCAAACCAAGAGACUUCGGUUUCUUGGGGUUGCGGACCUGCAACAAACUGGACACUUUAGUGGAAGCAUCUGGGAAGGUGCGGCGAAGAGAGUGAGACCCUCGUACACGAAAGAGUGAAAAGCGGGCAGGGAUCCAGAGUACCACAGGGCACGAGGAACCCAGUGGGAAGCAGGGUGGACCACCAUCCAAGGCUAAAUACAUCGAAACGACCGAUAGUGGAAAGUACCGUGAGGGAAAGGUGAAAAGAACCCCGGGAGGGGAGUGCAAUAGAACCUGAAACCGUAUGUCUACAAACAGUCGGAGCACUUUACAUGUGCGACGGCGUGCCUAUUGAAGAAUGAACCGGCGAGUUAAUUUAUGCUGCGAGGUUAAGCGGGAGACGCGGAGCCGAAGCGAAAGCGAGUCUUAAGAGGGCGUAAAGUAGCAUGGAUUAGACCCGAAACCACAGUGAUCUAUACAUGUCCAGGUUGAAGCUCAGGUAAAAAUGAGUGGAGGACCGAACCCGUGCAUGUUGAAAAAUGUUGGGAUGAGAUGUGUAUAGGGGUGAAAUGCCAAUCGAACGUGGAGAUAGCUGGUUCUCCCCGAAAUAGCUUUAGGGCUAGCCUCAGGCGAAUAACCAUAGAGACGGUAGAGCACUGAUCGGGCAAGGGGGCGUAAAGCCUACCGACCCCAGUCAAACUACGAAUGGCUCAUAUGGGCAGCCUGGGAGUCAGAAUGCGAGUGAUAAGACCCGUAUUCAAGAGGGAAACAGCCCAGACCGCCGGCUAAGGUCCCAAAUGCUGUGCUAAGUGGAGAAGGAUGUAGGACUUCGAAAACAACCAGGAUGUUGGCUCAGAAGCAGCCACCAUUAAAAGAGUGCGUAAUAGCUCACUGGUCGAGAGGCCCUGCGCCGAAAAUAUCCGGGGCUAAAGCACAGAACCGAAGCCGCGGCAGGAGUGUACAUAUCGACAGAGCGCCCAAGGCGCAGGAAAAAUUGGUAUCUGCAAGGCGAUGGAGCGAUGCAUAGCAGCGCUAUACAGAGCGACAUCAACACAGCAGAGAGCGAUUUUAACAAGCCUUUUGGACGUUGUGCCGGUGUGUAUACGACUGGGUAGGGGAGCGUUCUUAUCUGGACGAAGGUAGACCGGAAGGACUGCUGGACGGGUAAGAAGUGAGAAUGCCGGUAUGAGUAGCGAAACGACAGGUGAGAAUCCUGUCCACCGAAAGCCUAAGGGAUCCUGGGCAACGCUCGUCGCCCCAGGGUAAGUCGGGACCUAAGCCGAGGCGUAAAGCAUAGGCGAUGGACAACUGGCGAAAAUUCCAGUACCGGGCGUCUUCGUUUGAGGAUGGAGUGACGCAGGAAGGAAGCUGAGCGCGCGAAUGGAAGAGCGCGUCGAAGGCGGUAGGCUUGUAUGGAGGCAAAUCCCCAUACUACAAGGCCGAGAACCGAUAGAUAGGAAAGACUACGGUCAAUCUGAAUUCAGCUGCACUACACUGCCAAGAAAAGCUUCUAACGAGAAGACGUCCGCCCGUACCAAAACCGACACAGGUAGGCGGGGAGAGAAUCCUAAGGUGCGCGGGAAAACCCUCGUUAAGGAACUCGGCAAAAUGCAUCCGUAACUUCGGGAAAAGGAUGGCCGCUGAUGGUGACGACACUUGCUGUCUGAGCUGUUGACGGCGGCAGAAAAGAGGCCCAAGCGACUGUUUACCACAAACACAGGUGCCUGCGAAAGCGCAAGCUGAAGUAUAGGUGCUGACGCCUGCCCGGUGCAGGAAGGUUAAGGAGAGUUGUUAGUCCUUGAGAUGAAGCAGCGAACUGAAGCCCCUGUAAACGGCGGCCGUAACUAUAACGGUCCUAAGGUAGCGAAAUUCCUUGUCGGG
rnacentral:rRNA from 1 species